rnacentral:rRNA from 1 species
GAUGAACGCUGGCGGCGUGCUUAACACAUGCAAGUCGAACGGAAAGGCCCAAGCUUGCUUGGGCACUCGUUUGGCGAACGGGUGAGUAACACGUGGGUGAACUGCCCUGCACUUAGGGAUAAGCCUGGGAAACUGGGUCUAAUACCGGAUAGGACCUCUUCAUGGGCGUUGUGGUGGAAAGUUUUUCGGUCGUGGGGUGAGUUCGCGGCGUAUCAGCGUGUUGGUGGGGUAAUGGCCUACCAAGGGGUUGACGGGUCGCCGGACAGUGAGAGUGUAACGCGACAUUGGGACUGAGGUGAGGCCCAGGCACCUACGGGAGGGAGCAGUGGGGAAUAUUGAACGAUGGGCGCAGGGCUGGUGCAGCGGGGCCGCGUGGCGGAUGACGGUCUUCGGGUUGAAGACUCCUUGCGCUAGGGACGAAGCGUGUUGUGACGGUACCUGGAGAGAAAGCACCGGCUAACUACGUG